rnacentral:rRNA from 1 species
UGGUGGUAUUGAGUUGUCUGGUUGAUUCCGUUAACGGGCGAGAUUAUAGUAUUUUUAGACUAGUACCGUUGAAGGUAAAGGAAGUUUAUGGCGAUAUCA